GGCUAGCCAGUUUUCUCAACUGGCUGCAACAUCUGUCACCCCACUGAUUGCCAGGGUUGAUUUGGCCAGUCUGACUCGCUAGGCGGGUGUCCCAUUCCUCCCUCACUGCUCCAUGUGCAUCCCUCCCAAAGCUGUACGCUCGGUCAAAGAGGGUGAACAUCCCCGACAGAAGAGGACGGGUCUUUGGUCAAGGGUAUAUGAGUAGCUGCACUCCCCUUCUAGAAUCUCCAAACAAGCUCUCAAACUUUCUAAUUUAAGAAUGAAAGGGAUAUACGACUAAACACAUAGAAGUUUAAAAGCAUAAUGAAGGAAUCCUGUGAGCAACUUU
ensembl:misc_RNA 7SK 7SK RNA